rnacentral:rRNA from 1 species
GGCGGGUUUCUUAAGUCUGAUGUGAAAGCCCCCGGCUCAACCGGGGAGGGUCAUUGGAAACUGGGAAACUUGAGUGCAGAAGAGGAGAGUGGAAUUCCACGUGUAGCGGUGAAAUGCGUAGAGAUGUGGAGGAACACCAGUGGCGAAGGCGACUCUCUGGUCUGUAACUGACGCUGAGGAGCGAAAGCGUGGGGAGCGAACAGGAUUAGAUACCCUGGUAGUCCACGCCGUAAACGAUGAGUGCUAAGUGUUAGGGGGUUUCCGCCCCUUAGUGCUGCAGCUAACGCAUUAAGCACUCCGCCUGGGGAGUACGGUCGCAAGACUGAAACUCAAAGGAAUUGACGGGGGCCCGCACAAGCGGUGGAGCAUGUGGUUUAAUUCGAAGCAACGCGAAGAACCUUACCAGGUCUUGACAUCCUCUGACAACCCUAGAGAUAG